rnacentral:rRNA from 1 species
UACGUAGGGUGCGAGCGUUAAUCGGAAUUACUGGGCGUAAAGCGUGCGCAGGCGGUUUUCCAAGACAGAUGUGAAAUCCCCGGGCUCAACCUGGGAAUGGCAUUUGUGACUGGAAGGCUAGAGUGUGUCAGAGGGGGGGUAGAAUUCCACGUGUAGCAGUGAAAUGCGUAGAGAUGUGGAGGAAUACCGAUGGCGAAGGCAGCCCCCCUGGGAUAACACUGACGCUCAUGCACGAAAGCGUGGGGGAGCAAACAGG